rnacentral:rRNA from 1 species
UACGUAGGGUGCGAGCGUUGUCCGGAAUUAUUGGGCGUAAAGGGCUCGUAGGCGGUUUGUCGCGUCGGAAGUGAAAACACGGGGCUUAACUCUGUGCUUGCUUUCGAUACGGGCAGACUAGAGGGAUGCAGGGGAGAACGGGAUUCCUGGUGUAGCGGUGAAAUGCGCAGAUAUCAGGAGGAACACCGGUGGCGAAGGCGGUUCUCUGGGCAUUCCCUGACGCUGAGGAGCGAAAGUGUGGGGAGCGAACAGG